rnacentral:rRNA from 1 species
GACGAACGCUGGCGGCGUGCUUAACACAUGCAAGUCGAACGGAAAGGCCUGCUUUCCCUUGUGGAUUGCGGGUACUCGAGUGGCGAACGGGUGAGUAACACGUGAGUGAUCUGCCCCCAACUUGGGUAUAAGCCUGGGAAACUGGGUCUAAUUCCCGAUAGGACUGCAGGGUGGUGCCUGUGGUGGAAAACGAUUUUCUAGUGGUUGGGGAUGAGCUCGCGGCCUAUCAGCUUGUUGGUGGGGUAAUGGCCUACCAAGGCGGCGACGGGUAGCCGGCCUGGGAGGGCGGACGGCCACAUUGGACCUGAGAGACGGCCCAGACUCCUACGGGAGGCAGCAGUGGGGAAUAUUGCGCAAUGGGCGGAAGCCUGAUGCAGCGACGCCGCGUGGGGGAUGACGGCCUUCGGGUUGUAAACUCCUUUCGACCGCGAGGAAGCCACCUGGUUGGAAGGGUGGUGACGGUAGUGGUAGAAGAAGCACCGGCUAACUACGUG